rnacentral:rRNA from 1 species
UCCCUUAGKUCAGCGGCGGACGGGUGAGUAACACGUGGGUAACCUGCCUGUAAGACUGGGAUAAYUCCGGGAAACCGGGGCUAAUACCGGAUGCUUGAUUGAACCGCAUGGUUCAAUCAUAAAAGGUGGCUUUYAGCUACCACUURCAGAUGGACCCGCGGCGCAUUAGCUAGUUGGUGAGGUAACGGCUCACCAAGGCGACGAUGCGUAGCCGACCUGAGAGGGUGAUCGGCCACACUGGGACUGAGACACGGCCCAGACUCCUACGGGAGGCAGCAGUAGGGAAUCUUCCGCAAUGGACGAAAGUCUGACGGAGCAACGCCGCGUGAGUGAUGAAGGUUUUCGGAUCGUAAAACUCUGUUGUUAGGGAAGAACAAGUACCGUUCGAAUAGGGCGGCACCU